rnacentral:rRNA from 1 species
GAUGAACGCUGGCGGCGUGCCUAAUACAUGCAAGUCGAGCGAACAGACGAGGAGCUUGCUCCUCUGACGUUAGCGGCGGACGGGUGAGUAACACGUGGAUAACCUACCUAUAAGACUGGGAUAACUUCGGGAAACCGGAGCUAAUACCGGAUAAUAUAUUGAACCGCAUGGUUCAAUAGUGAAAGACGGUUUUGCUGUCACUUAUAGAUGGAUCCGCGCCGCAUUAGCUAGUUGGUAAGGUAACGGCUUACCAAGGCAACGAUGCGUAGCCGACCUGAGAGGGUGAUCGGUCACACUGGAACUGAGACACGGUCCAGACUCCUACGGGAGGCAGCAGUAGGGAAUCUUCCGCAAUGGGCGAAAGCCUGACGGAGCAACGCCGCGUGAGUGAUGAAGGUCUUCGGAUCGUAAAACUCUGUUAUUAGGGAAGAACAAAUGUGUAAGUAACUAUGCACGUCUUGACGGUACCUGAUCAGGAAGCCACGGCUAACUACGUG